rnacentral:misc_RNA from 1 species
AUUUUAAAAGGCAUCAAAACAUGAAACUGUUCUGACCACCUCCUGGGGUUUUAGGUAACUACCUUUAGCUGUUUCUACAAGAAAGAAAACGGAAUGAAAAGCAGUCAUUAUUAGGCCUGUCAAAAAUGGAUGCAGACCUGGCUCUUGCAUUAAAACUCCAAGAGGAGUUUGACAGAGCAGAGAAUGUGGCCUGUGUUGAAAGUGGUCCCCUCUCCUCCACCCCCGGGGCUCCGCUGUCACUUGCCGAUGAGAGCUGGGAGGUGAUGGACCCGAACCCAGACAUCAGGGCUCUUUUCCUACAGUACAAUGACCGCUUCUUUUGGGGCAGGCUGGCAGGAAUCGAGGUCAAAUGGAGUCCUAGGAUGACACUAUGUGCGGGACUGUGUGUGUAUGAGGGGCGUGGAGGGCUGUGCUCAGUACGACUCAGUUUACCACUGUUAAAGCUGAGACCACGGAGAGACCUGGUACAAACACUGCUGAAACUCCCAGGAAUCAAUUUCAAACAGACAUUUUUUGAGGAUGCAGGCCUGAGUUGGUCAAUGGCAAUGGGUAUGUUAGACUGGUCAAGUGUUUCUAACGAUGAUGAUGGUUCAGUAUGACAGCAGUUUUACCUAUUUUUAAAUGUAAGAUACUGUGAAGGGAGAUCUAGAGCUAUAGUAAUUAGCUUGGUUUUUUUUUCAGCAUGAAAUGAUCCAUGCAUACCUUUUUGUCACAGACAAUAAUAAAGAUCAUGAUGGACAUGGGCCAGAAUUCCAUAAACACAUGUACCGCAUAAACAAAGAGGCAGGAGUCAAUAUAACUGUAUACCACACAUUCCAUGAUGAAGUCGCCGAAUACAGACAGCACUGGUGGAGAUGCAAUGGACCGUGUCAGAGUCGGAAACCGUACUUUGGUUAUGUGAAGCGAGCCAUGAAUCGAGCCCCAGGACCCCGCGACCCCUGGUUCAGAGAUCAUCAAAACUCAUGUAAUGGAACCUUCAUCAAAGUAAAGGAACCCGAGAACUAUGGGAAGAAAAAGAAAAAAGGGGAAGGAAAAUCAGAAAAAACAAGUUCAAAAGCAGUCGAAAAGAAAAGUCCAAAUAAGGACAUCAGAACAUUCUUUGGAAAAGGACAUGUACUUUCAAGUAGAUCUCCAACGAAAGCCAGCCCACAAAAGGAAGUGACAAAAAAGCCUGAAGUAAAAGGUCUACCCAAAUUUUAUGACACAGACUCAGAUGAUGAACUAGAUCUAUUGGCAGUUCAUCCACAAAAGAAUCCUGUGGAAACAAAGAACAGUGAUUAUGAUACAAGUUGCGAUGAGAAAGAUCUUCCAGAGGCAAUCUUGAAAGAUUUACUUUCAGAUUCUGAGGAUGAACUGCUGUGUGAUGCUCUAGAUUCACAAGAAAAGCUUUCCUCACCAAGCCCUCCAAAGACCACAAAUAACGAUUUUAGUAAGUCUUUAGGAAGUAAAGCUGUUUUAGAAGAUUCCAAAACAUCUGAUUUGUCUGAUAAAGCAUCUUGUUCUCAGCCAUCUACUUCGAAACAAUCUGAAACACCAAACAACGAUGUUCGAAACAAACUCCGAGAGAUAUGGGGCAAAAAGUACGAAAAUCAAUCAAAACAUAAGACCUUUAAUAAGACCUCAAUCAAGAGAUCUUUAUCAAAGCCUCAGCCAGCAACGAAAAGGAUAAAGACAGAUGAAACAAUUGAUUUAACAAGCAAUACUGUAUAUCCGAAAAACACCUUAACAAAUGAUGAAAAGUUGCUCAGACAUUCUUCUACAGAAACAAGUUCUGGGGCUGAAAUGACAAAAGAAAAUCCUGUGAAGUCUUCGUUCAAUGUUAUUGAAACAGAUGUUUGUAAAUGUCCAGUGUGUAGCAAGGAUAUUUUGUCCACCCACAUUAAUCAGCAUUUAGACGCUUGUCUUGGUAUUACGUGAAACUACAUGUAUAACAGGAAUUGAUCUGUGGUAUUAUUUGUAUAUAACUUGAGCUUUUGCUUGUGAUAUUAACAGAUUGUCUUCCAAACCUUCUGUGUUCAAGUUAUUCAGUGUUUACUGUGUUUCAUGAUUGUAUACAAGGUACAAAUGGUACUUGCCCGUUAUACUUUUUUUUAACAGGUUAUUUGUUUAAUGAAAUGAAGUUUCAAUCUC